rnacentral:rRNA from 1 species
GACGAACGCUGGCGGCGUGCUUAACACAUGCAAGUCGAACGGAAAGGCCCUGCUUUUGUGGGGUGCUCGAGUGGCGAACGGGUGAGUAACACGUGAGUAACCUGCCCUUGACUUUGGGAUAACUUCAGGAAACUGGGGCUAAUACCGGAUAGGAGCUCCUGCUGCAUGGUGGGGGUUGGAAAGUUUCGGCGGUUGGGGAUGGACUCGCGGCUUAUCAGCUUGUUGGUGGGGUAGUGGCUUACCUAGGCUUUGACGGGUAGCCGGCCUGAGAGGGUGACCGGCCACAUUGGGACUGAGAUACGGCCCAGACUCCUACGGGAGGCAGCAGUGGGGAAUAUUGCACAAUGGGCGGAAGCCUGAUGCAGCAACGCCGCGUGCGGGAUGACGGCCUUCGGGUUGUAAACCGCUUUCGCCUGUGACGAAGCGUGAGUGACGAUAAUGGGUAAAGAAGCACCGGCUAACUACGUG